rnacentral:sRNA from 1 species
CAAGGGCGAGGAUGCUAACAGGAUGAUGACUCAGGAUGAGGGGUCAGGAAGCGCCAGGAGGCGAGGACUACGGAUUGUCAGGAUGACAAACGUCUGGAAGACGUUUUAAAGGGAAAUGGAAGUAACAGGGACCGUUGGUAGCUGAAGGAAAGACAGGGUGUGUCGUUAGCUAACAUGGAAAGUAGAAGCCCUUUAAGGGUUGUCAGUACGGAAAAAGGCGACAGAGUAAUCUGUCGCCUUUUUUCUUUGCUUGCUU